rnacentral:rRNA from 1 species
GGCUGCGGUAUAUUGACCGUACAAAGGUAGCAUAAUCAUUAGUUUUUUAAUUGAAAACUUGUAUGAAUGGUUGAAUGAGAAAUUAACUUUUUUUUAUAAAAUAUUGAACUUUAACUUUUAGUUAAAAUGCUAAAAUAAUUUUAAAAGACGAGAAGACCCUAUAGAGUUUAAUAACAUAUUUUUAUUUAUAUAAAAGUUUAAUUAUAUUAUUAAAAAAAAAUUUAUUUUAUUGGGGUGAUAAUAAAAUUUAAUUAACUUUUAUUUUUAAUAUAUAAAUAUUUAUAUAUAUAUAUAAUAUGAUCCAAUUAUAUUGAUUAAAAAUUUAAAUUACCUUAGGGAUAACAGCGUAAUUUUUUUUUAAGUUCUUAUUAAUAAAAGAUUUUGCGACCUCGAUGUUGGAUUAAGAUUAAUUUUUAGGAGCAGCAGCUUAAAAUUUAAGUCUGUCCGACUUUUUAACUCUU